AUGCCCAUAAUCACCUGACUAAAAAGCAGCUUUGAUAUUGGAUCAAACAGAGUAUUGAGGGGCACUACAGCUGAGGUGUUUGUUGAGUUCAUCGCUUUACAAAUGUUGAACCUAUGCAGCCAAUUCUACUGCAAACUUGAGAGAUACACACCACAACUGAUUGCCCUGUACAGGCAGAAGGCCAAUAGAGCAGAAGCCCUGCAGAGAUCCUCAGGA